rnacentral:lncRNA from 1 species
AUGCUGGAGCUGACCCGCCGGCGCCGAGAGGCAGAGCUGAAGCGCAAUCUCCACAGGGAGGCAAAAAUCAAUAAACAAAAAGUCAAGGAAUUCAGCCCGAAGAAAGUCCUUGACACUCGCCAGAGAGGUGACAGCACCGGCAGCCGAGACCUUGUCCCCGCUGAGCACAAUCAGCAUUUUAAUGGAGACCCUGGAAACAGAGGGGAUGGAGGACUCUCAGGGCAGCACGACGGCAACAGCAAGGUCGGGCUGUGGCUCUGCAGGGAGCCGCGCACCAGGGACCUGCUCUGGGACACCUCCAGCACCGACUCGGGGGGCUGCGAGGGGGAAGAGAGGAAACUUCACCGCAAACCCGCGCUGGUGAGGACCAGGACGGAGAGGGUUUCUCUCUUCGACGAGUUCUUCGAUACAGAUUUCUAGUGGCGUGCCUCGGGACGUGCUGAAGGACCGAGCCACUGUGCCGGGGCGCAGGCACGGUGUUUGCAGUCAGCAGCGGUGCUGUGCGCAGGGCGGGUGGACAGGGCCACUGGAAACACGGAGGUGGCCGAUGGGGUCAGUAGUGACAGGUCUGGGUACGUGGCUGCGUCUGAACAGCUGGGGAAAAACAGUUUGGACUGAGCAGCAGUAACGUGGGGGCAGGGGGAGGAGGAGGAGGAGGCUGGCAAAACAAACAAGCAGAAGCUGGAAAAUGUUCCAGCAGAAGUUCCAGCUGGGAUGAAAUAUUUCCCUUGCCUUUGAGUUGCUCGACCUUUCCGCCUAGCUUGUUUUCAGCCUUACAUCCUUUUCUAAGCCACAGAAAAGCAGUUCAAAAUGAAAGGUAGAAUGAUCGCUUUAGGAAGUCUUUCAAAUAAAUAUUUUGGCAUUUCUGAAAUUCCUUUUUGA